UACGAAGGGGGCAAGCGUUGUUCGGAAUGACUGGGCGUAAAGGGCGCGUAGGCGGUUCGCUAAGUUGAAUGUGAAAACUCUGGGCUUAACCCAGAGCCUGCAUUCAAUACUGGCGGGCUAGAGUUCUGGAGGGGAUAGUGGAAUUCCUGGUGUAGCGGUGAAAUGCGUAGAUAUCAGGAGGAACACCGGUGGCGAAGGCGGCUAUCUGGACAGAGUCUGACGCUGAGGCGCGAAAGCGUGGGGAGCAAACAGG
rnacentral:rRNA from 1 species